GACGUAGGGCGCGAGCGUUGUCCGGAUUUAUUGGGCGUAAAGAGCUCGUAGGCGGCUUGUCGCGUCGUCCGUGAAAACCUGCAGCUUAACUGUGGGCUUGCGGUCGAUACGGGCAUCACUGGAGUUCGGCAGGGGAGACUGGAAUUCCUGGUGUAGCGGUGAAAUGCGCAGAUAUCAGGAGGAACACCGGUGGCGAAGGCGGGUCUCUGGGCCGAUACUGACGCUGAGGAGCGAAAGCGUGGGGAGCGAACAGG
rnacentral:rRNA from 1 species